CCUUCUGUCAGGACGCUUCCCUUUCGUUCUUUCGCUUUAGCUCGUACGCAGCCUUCAUCUUCUUCUUCUGCUUCUUCUUCUUCUUCCCCUAACUAAAGAGCCGUCCGUCACUAGUGCGACUCCAUUGCUGCUCUGCCAACGGGCGGCGCCCGUGACCACUGUGGGACAAGAAGCCUGAGGGUCAGGGCUGACCUGGGUCUCUGCUGGUCCUGACCGGGACAAGGCCAUCUGGAUUGAUAGGGUAAAAGGAAGCCCAGCGCGUCUCUGAAACCUUCUUCACACAACGCCUGCAUGCCGGCGCUGGGUGGAGGGAACAGAGCCCGGUUCAGACGUUUGAGGUUUUCCACGGAGAGCUGAGGAAACCAAAGGAAACGCCACAUUUACAUCGAGCCUUCAACCACACUGGUGACAGUACACUGCCACUGAGACCCAGCUACCACUGACAUGGUGAGUGGAACCUUCUCUACUCCUGCUCCACAUCUCAGACGUAAACUUAAGGUAAACAGGGAUCCCAGUUAUGGACUAGACUCAAGACUUAAGAUGUGUGUCUUCAUCAAAUGAUCCAAUCCUCACCAUUAUGUUCAUGUUGGCCAGUGCGAGUUGAGUGUUGAAGCGCCCCCUGUGGACGGGACACACGUCCUGCAGUCCGGCAAACGGAGACACAGUGAUG